rnacentral:lncRNA from 1 species
CUUAUCAUUCUCUAUGGUAAAAACACGUCCGCGGGUCUAAAGGCGUCUCGCGCCGAACUGCGCAUUGACGUCUCAAACCACAACCCCCGGCCGAAUCGGUCUCGCAAACGUUACCAGAAGCCUCGCGAUGUUGUACCUCUGGGUUUAGAAACUCUGUGCUGGUACUUAGCUAGCUAGCUACAUUAUUUGAAUGUUUACAUGACUGUUUCUCUGCGUUGGUAACAGAUAAUAAUCAAAAAUGUGCAACGAAGCGGUCUUUGAAACAAUUGAAGAGGUCAAUAAGCAUAUCUCACACGUCGAAGAGUCAACCUGUGUGAAAUAUAUUUCUUAUCGUGUGGACAAGCGCUUCAAUGACCAAGGUUGGAAACCACAGGACCACAAGAACAGGCUAUACUGGGAAUGGAAGUACGGCAAGGGUACUCCCUGUAUCCCCUUUGACGGUGUACCGUUUGUGUUCAUCGGACACAAGCUAAUGGGAUGCCACAGGGGCCGGGCAAAGUGUGGAAUCAAGAAGAGGCAGGAACUUCAGGAUCAAAGGGCAAAAGAUGGCAAGGAAAAAAGAAACCUGUUGCUGAAAACCAAGAAAGUAGCAUGCCCUGCUGUGUUCACAAUCAGCCGCAUUGUGAAGUUCCCUGGAUUCAAGUUGGAGAAGGACACAUCACGGUUGAGGAGGGUCAUGUCUAUUUCCAUCAAACAAGCUCUCCAGACAGACCCAGCCUCAGUGCAGUGGAAGAUACAGUAUUUCCUCAAAAUACCCAGUGUCACCGACCACAAGGGCCAUCCUAUUGGAAAGGUAUUACUAUGUUAUUACUAUACUAUGACCAUGGGAUCUAUUGCAUUGGACUCUCUUUAGGCUACAUAACUAGUGUCUGUAUGCCUGUAUGU